AGGGUUUGAUCAUGGCUCAGGACGAACGCUGGCGGCGGGCCUAACACAUGCAAGUCGAACGCACUCGACCUUCGGGUCAUAUGAGUGAGUGGCGAACGGGUGAGUAACACGUGAGAAACCUGCCCCGAAGACUGGAAUAACCCGAGGAAACUCGGGCUAAUACCGGAUGCCCCCAACUGAUCGCAUGAUCAGUUGAGGAAAUGCUCCGGCGCUUCGGGAGGGUCUCGCGGCCUAUCAGCUAGUUGGUGAGGUAACGGCUCACCAAGGCAACGACGGGUAGCUGGUCUGAGAGGACGAUCAGCCACACUGGGACUGAGACACGGCCCAGACUCCUACGGGAGGCAGCAGUGGGGAAUCUUGCGCAAUGGACGAAAGUCUGACGCAGCCACGCCGCGUGAGGGAUGAAGGCUUUCGGGUCGUAAACCUCUUUCAGCAGGGAAGAAAAUGACGGUACCUGCAGAAGAAGCUCCGGCCAACUACGUGCCAGCAGCCGCGGUAACACGUAGGGAGCAAGCGUUGUCCGGAUUUAUUGGGCGUAAAGAGCUCGUAGGCUGUUCAGUAAGUCAGGUGUGAAAACUCGAGGCUCAACCUCGAGACGCCACUUGAUACUGCUGUGACUAGAGUCCGGUAGAGGAGUGUGGAAUUCCUGGUGUAGCGGUGAAAUGC
rnacentral:rRNA from 1 species